UCAUACACAUUGUUUCAUCCCAACGUGGCGACUUUUAAUGGAACACGUGGUUACGACAGUUCCUUUCUGGGACAUCCAAGCUCUUUGAAUCCCGGUGACUUUACACUGUUCGUUAGGUGAAACAGUGAAGUGACUCAUAUCAAGAUUCAGAACGCUGAUGAUUUUUACGAUCUUUAUUAUGGAGGUGAAAAGUUUGCCACACUCUCGGAGCUCGCCCAGUUUUACAUGGAAAAUGGUGGACAAUUGAGAGAAUAAAAAAACGGUCAAGUUAUUGAAUUAAAAUAUCUUCUUGAUUGUGCGGAUCCAACAACCGAAAGGUGGUGCCAUGGACAUUCAUCCGCCUAAGAAGCCGAAAGUUUGAUAUGUUCGAGCGAGAAAAAACGGAUCGCUUCUCGACCGCGAAUCGCAGAGCAAACCAGGAAUCGUUUUGUCGGUCAGGACUGAUGAUCUUGUUACUCAUAUUAUGAUAUGAUCUCAAGUUCGAAAGCAUUACAUCGCUGUUUUGAGUAUUUUAUAAACGACGAUUUCCUCAAUUGACCAUCUUAUCGCAGGUGGGAAGAUCAAUAAGUUUUCAGCAUCUAAAAUACGGCGUUGGUAGCGAUGAGAAAUUUGAUAGUUUGAGCGAUCUGAUAGAGCACUACAAAAAUCAAUGUACAAUAGCUACAAAUUUUGAAAGAAGGUUGGGCAGCUCUCUUGAUUGUUUUCAUGUGAGAAGACCAAUUCCUGUGAACUCAACAUUUGAAAUAUUUGAGGGACAAAGGAACAGAAGUGAACCAAUCUGUGCCAAUAGUAUGGCGAUAAGCACUGCGAAUAAAAAUUGUUUGGAAAGUUUUCUGCUAUAACCCUUUGAUAC